GUCGGUUUCAGGUCUCCACAGAAUGGAGCGAGAAUGAACAGAGAGCGGCUUAGGAAAAAGCAUGAACUGGAGGUCUAUUGAGGUCAUCUGCUUCCUGUUUAUAUGGAAUCAUAUAACAGUUUGGUCUUCACGCCCGGACCCGUCGGCCAAUGAGCAGCACGUCACCAAGCAGUAUGAUUGGCUCAUCUCCGACCGCGGUCCUUUCCACCACUCACGGAGUUACCUCUCCUUUGUGGAAAGAUUCCGCCAAGGAUUUACUACCAGAUAUAAAAUUUAUAGGUAAGUCCUGCAUUGGAAGGUGAGGA